AUUGAACGCUGGCGGCAGGCCUAACACAUGCAAGUCGAGCGGAUGAAGGGAGCUUGCUCCUGGAUUCAGCGGCGGACGGGUGAGUAAUGCCUAGGAAUCUGCCUGGCAGUGGGGGAUAACGUCCGGAAACGGGCGCUAAUACCGCAUACGUCCUGAGGGAGAAAGUGGGGGAUCGUCGGACCUCACGCUAUCAGAUGAGCCUAGGUGGGAUUAGCUAGUUGGUGGGGUAAGGGCCUACCAAGGCGACGAUCCGUAACUGGUCUGAGAGGAUGAUCGGUCACAUUGGAGCUUGGACACGGUCCAGACUCCUACGGGAGGCCGCAGUGGGGAAUAUUGGACAGUGGGCGAAAGCCUGAUCCAGCCAUGCCGCGUGUGUUAAGAAGGUCUUCGGAUUGUAAAGCCCUUUAAGUUGUGAGGAAGGGCAGUAAGUUAAUACCUUGCUGUUUUGACGUUACCAACAGAAUAAGCACCGGCUAACUUCGUG
rnacentral:rRNA from 1 species